GAACUUGCUUUAAUUACAAGUUUGCCACUCAAAUGAAUAAAGGUAUAAAUAUGACUUUAUAGCCUUUUAUUCAUAAAAGGGUUUGUUUUGGGGAAAAUUGGUGAGAAUUGUCUCUCCAUUUCUCUCUAGAAAAGCCGGCCACCAUGGAAGUUAUAGCUAGCCAUCUAUUCUUCCAUGGUCACUCAUUUAUCAUCCAUGCUCUCCUUGGUGUAGAUCCAUCCAAAUCCAUGGAUCUAAGAUGCAAGGAUUGAAGGCCCUAUCUCUUGGGUGAUUAGCCUUUGUUUAAAUACAAAGAGGAAUCUACAAAGGUAUAUAUUUCAACUCACUUUGUUUUGAGUUGUUUAAUGGUUCACCAAUCUACUAGGCUUUGAAUUUCUUGGUUAAUGUUUUGUUUUUAAGUGCAUGCUAGCAUGAUUCCGCCUUUAAUUGUUAAUUGCAUGCUAUUUGAUGUUGCUUAAAAGAACUUGUUUUCACAAAAUUUUCCUUCACUAUAAGAACCCCUUCUAUUCAAAACACCUUUUAAAGCAGUUUCUAAAACAAUAUAUCGCCAUAUAUUUCGUUUGUAUACUUUAUACAUACUUUGCUCCAACCUUGAGACCAUUGUAGUACAAUACUAACAAUACAUUCAUAUGAUUAGUACUUCAUCCAUUAUGACGUUCCAUUUGUUAAAAUGGGUUAUUUUUCACUUUGGUUAAUAACCUAAGUGAAUGCACGCUUCCAGAGUCCCACUCUGAUGUUCCUUUCUUAAAGGCAAUAAUACUCUAUCAGUUGCUAUGGUUCUGAUCCUGGGCUAUAGUAAUAUCUUAAAGUGACAACCCCUGUGGCUUUUCACCUUUGGAUAUCAUCUCACAGGUCCAUACAUGUGUCCCUUUUGUGAUUUUAUGACACAUUCAUUAUAAGGGUUAUGAAAGUGAUUUUCUAUCAUAUAGGAAAACACCUUCUCAAAUCUUCAAUAUUUGAGAUUUAAUUUCCCCAAAUAACAUCCUUGAGAUAGCCUUGCUAUAUCAAUAUGUCCAAUUUCAAGUCUAUACUUUAAAAUUGACCGUGUCACGUUUUGUCAUUUUUCGAGUAACAUCUAUGUUUUAUCAAGUCUAUCAAAUAGACUUUAUUCAUAUCUUGUCGCUCAAAUUAUGACAUCACUCCCACUGACCUUGUUGUAACUUAGCAUUCAUUCAAAAACUUAACACUUAUAUUUUCUUGAUUUGAAUGCAUAUUGCUCCCACUAACUUGUCUUGGAUCUAUUGACAAUCAUUGAGAUCCAUUAGCUUAUUGAUGAUGUCUUAACAAUUUUGAAACUAUCAACAACGCUAGCUAACACAAGUUAUUUAAAUGAACAUACACAAAAGAAUUCCUUCUCAAGUAAUUCCAUUUGAAAUGUGUGACUCUGCUAUAUCAAGUCUAUUCAUUUAAAUCAUAUGGUGUCAUACACCAUACUCCAAGUUUUAGUCAUACUAAGACCUUUAAUGUAGUCAUAUAAGAAUUAUCCAAGUCUUUAGUGGAAGCAUGGCUCUUACUAAGGAUAUAGAAACUCAACCAUUCCUUCUAGGUGGUUGAUAUAAUUCUUUAUCAAAACUACAUAGAGCGUUAUAGUUACAUGAGAUGUUGAAUUUGGAUUGUCUUGUUGUUAAACCAUAUGUUGUGACUCAUUUUAAAACUAUUCCCUUUUGUUUCAUCAAAUUUGUCCAUACGCUUUGUUAUUAGCUUGUUCUCAUAAAAGAGAAUGAUGGACAACUCCCAACAUAUAACCAUUUUAUGUUAGGUUGACAAAACCAACAUUCAAAGACUUUUCUUUAGAAUGUUACACAACAUAGAAUUUUAACUUUUGAAGAGCUUGAGUCCUUUAACAAUUAAAAUUACAAACUCUUAAUAAUAGUCAAGUACUAUUAUUCUUUAGACAACUAUAAACCAAUCAUAUUCAAGUUUAUAUCCUUUUUCACACCUCCCACUAUUUCUCAUGACUUUAAUGAGAAAUCACUUCAUACAUUCAAAAUGUAUAAACGUGGAGUAUACGCGUAGAGGACAUUGUGUAGUAGCUUUAAAACCUUUCAAGCUCGUUUGUUUCAAUCUUCACUAAGUUAAUGUCUCGUUAUUAAGUGACUAAAGUCUUUAAACAUUUUAUAGAUUUAGACACUUCUUUCUUGGUUUAAUCACUAACACAAUUGACAUUUUAAAACCAAUUUUAAGAAUGCCUAAUUAGUUGUUCAAAACUACUAAUUGAAUCAAGAGUGAUCUUGAUUAUUGUGGUUUAAGUGAUAACCAUAUAAGAAACGUUUUUCUUAUUACUUAUAUCAUUAUAAUGUGAUCUUCCUUUUCUUCAAGAAAGGAAUUUCUAGACCUUUGUCAAUUCAUAUAGAACUCAUAGGUAGACAAUUGGAACCAAAUCUAAAGAUUCAUUGUAUCCUUCUAUGUCCAACACGUGAGAUCUAUCCAUAAUUGAUAAGUCUAAAGUUUGGUUAUCACAUUACAAUAACUGAUAUAAUUCUUGUAUCUCUACUAGGAUACAACAAGACAAUAUUCAAUUCAUAACACUACUUUAAGGAAAUAAUAUAUUAGAAGGCAUUCAUCACAUAACACUAAUAUGAUAAUUCAAACAUUCAUAAUGUUUAAUACAAAAAGAAUUAGCUCUAUACAUUUAGAGACUAAUUAAAAUCCUUCAUACAUUUAGGCACUAAUAGUGAUCUUCCAUCAUAUGAAGCCACUUAAUAAGUUCUUAACAAAAUAAGAAAGUU
rnacentral:lncRNA from 1 species